GUGCACCAGGUGCGAAACCUCCGCAAUGCGGGAAACCGCGACGGGGGACCCCGAGUGCCGUGGCAACGCCACGGCUUUUCCGGAGUGUAAAAAGCUCCGGGAAUAAGGGCUGGGCAAGGCCGGUGGCAGCCGCCGCGGUAAUACCGGCGGCCCGAGUGGUGGCCGCUAUCAUUGGGCCUAAAGCGUCCGUAGCCGGGCCCGUAAGUCCCUGGCGAAAUCCCACGGCUCAACCGUGGGGCUUGCUGGGGAUACUGCGGGUCUUGGGACCGGGAGAGGCGGGGGGUACCCCUGGGGUAGGGGUGAAAUCCUAUAAUCCCCAGGGGGACCGCCAGUGGCGAAGGCGCCCCGCUGGAACGGGUCCGACGGUGAGGGACGAAGGGCCAGGGGGAGCAAAACCGGG
rnacentral:rRNA from 1 species